CCAAACGCUGAGCAGUGGAGUACCCCUUUAAGCAAUGCACUUAUGUUAAAUGUGCUGGUGAUCGUAAUAUACAGACUGGCCUUUAUUUGUUACACCUACUUAUGGAUGGUUCACAUACUGUACGUCCAGCAGCAACGAGGACGCCACAUUCUCACCUGAUUUCGGCAGGGCUUCAAUAAAUUCAUAAACCCCGUCCUCCACCUCAGAGAAGGCUGAAUAUGGCCGCCUGGACCACACCGCCGCCGUGAUAAUCGGACACUUCUCUAUGAUAUUUCCAAAAAUAUCCAGAAAUUGCUCAUAGCUCAUGGAGUUUACAGCUUCUAGAUCCAUCUCCUGACCCAGCAGCAGUGACUCUCCGUUACAACUGGGGACAAGUCCUAAUGUCAUCUGGUCCUAAUGUUUAGUUAAUAAGUUUAUUUUUAACUACUCGGGCAACCGUGCAUGGACCCGAGGUCACUGACUCUUCCGAAAUCUGUAAACUGGAGUCCACUUACAGAGCAAGUGAAGUGAAAAUUCACAGCCGGAAAAGAUGCCAAAAACACCCAGUUUGUGAAAAAAAUGAAAGACAGCAGAGGAAGGCUAUCCUGCUGAAACGCGUUCUGUCCACUUAUAUGAAUAAACUCCACGUUCUUGCAUCUAUCUUGAACUGACAGCGCAACUACAGAUGGUGACAGUUUCCACUUGGUUUCCUACAUCCAAUGUGCUAGAAGACAUCCAGCUGUUUCCAUGUCUUUCUGACGGACCAAUUGUGAAUCCAUUCUCGAUUUCUUGC